AUUGACCGCUGGCGGCAGGCUUAACCCAUGCAAGUCGAACGAGUGGCGGACGGGUGAGUAAUGCUUGGGAAUCUAGCUUAUGGAGGGGGAUAACUACGGGAAACUGUAGCUAAUACCGCAUACCAUAGGAUGAGCCCAAGUGGGAUUAGGUAGUUGGUGGGGUAAAGGCUCACCUAGGCGACGAUCUCUAGCUGGUCUGAGAGGAUGAUCAGCCACACUGGGACUGAGACACGGCCCAGACUCCUACGUGAGGCAGAAGUGGGGAAUAUUGCACAAUGGGCGCAAGCCUGAUGCAGCCAUGCCGCGUGUAUGAAGAAGGCCUUAGGGUGGUAAAGUACGUUCAGUCGGGAGGCGUUACCGACAGAAGAAGCACCGGCUAACUCCGUGCCAGCAGCCGCGGUAAUUC
rnacentral:rRNA from 1 species